rnacentral:rRNA from 1 species
AUACCGGAUAAGCCCUUACGGGGAAAGAUUUAUCGCCGAAAGAUCGGCCCGCGUCUGAUUAGCUAGUUGGUGAGGUAAUGGCUCACCAAGGCGACGAUCAGUAGCUGGUCUGAGAGGAUGAUCAGCCACAUUGGGACUGAGACACGGCCCAAACUCCUACGGGAGGCAGCAGUGGGGAAUAUUGGACAAUGGGCGCAAGCCUGAUCCAGCCAUGCCGCGUGAGUGAUGAAGGCCCUAGGGUUGUAAAGCUCUUUUGUGCGGGAAGAUAAUGACGGUACCGCAAGAAUAAGCCCCGGCUAACUUCGUGCCAGCAGCCGCGGUAAUACGAAGGGGGCUAGCGUUGCUCGGAAUCACUGGGCGUAAAGGGUGCGUAGGCGGGUCUUUAAGUCAGGGGUGAAAUCCUGGAGCUCAACUCCAGAACUGCCUUUGAUACUGAAGAUCUUGAGUUCGGGAGAGGUGAGUGGAACUGCGAGUGUAGAGGUGAAAUUCGUAGAUAUUCGCAAGAACACCAGUGGCGAAGGCGGCUCACUGGCCCGAUACUGACGCUGAGGCACGAAAGCGUGGGGAGCAAACAGGAU